rnacentral:rRNA from 1 species
GACGUAGGGGGCGAGCGUUGUCCGGAUUUAUUGGGCGUAAAGCGUGCGUAGGCGGCUGCGCAAGUCGGUUGUGAAACCCCGGGGCUCAACCCCGGAACUGCGUCUGAGACUGGAAGGCUUGAAUUCGGGAGAGGGAUGUGGAAUCCCAGGUGUAGCGGUGAAAUGCGUAGAUAUCUGGAGGAACACCGGUGGCGAAGGCGGCAUCCUGGACCGAGAUUGACGCUGAUGCGCGAAAGCCAGGGGAGCAAACGGG